GAUGAACGCUGGCGGCGUGCCUAAUACAUGCAAGUCGAGCGAACGGACGAGAAGCUUGCUUCUCUGAUGUUAGCGGCGGACGGGUGAGUAACACGUGGAUAACCUACCUAUAAGACUGGGAUAACUUCGGGAAACCGGAGCUAAUACCGGAUAAUAUUUUGAACCGCAUGGUUCAAAAGAGAAAGACGGUCUUGCUGUAACUUAUAGAUGGAUCCGCGCUGCAUGAGCUAGUUGGUAAGGUAAAGGCUUACCAAGGCAACGAGGCAUAGCCGACCUGAGAGGGUGAUCGGCCACACUGGAACUGAGACACGGUCCAGACGCCUACGGGAGGCAGCAGUAGGGAAUCUUCCGCAAUGGGCGAAAGCCUGACGGAGCAACGCCGCGUGAGUGAUGAAGGUCUUCGGUUCGUAAAACUCUGUUAUUAGUGAAGAACAUAUGUGUAAGUAACUGUGCACAUCUUGACGGUACCUAAUCAGAAAGCCACGGCUAACUACGUG
rnacentral:rRNA from 1 species